rnacentral:lncRNA from 1 species
GUCCGCAGCAAUGACAGCGGUUCCGUCUUCUCUUCACUCUUGCUCCUUGUUUCAUGAAUACCUGGCCUGGAACACCUGUACUCAGGAUGCCUCCUGUGCUUGACUGUGCCUCAGUCUGUUCACAUGGUGCUGCCUAGUGGCUUGUGUUCAGAGCUGCCUUCCUUAUUUAAUGCUUUUCAGUUAAUGGUGAAUGACGUCUUGUGGGCCUGAGUCUUGAUACCAGCUUGCAACGUUCAGAAAAUAACGUCAAAGCUAUGAAUUCAUUGAGAGUCAUCUAAAAGCGAGUGGCUUCUCCAGUGGCUCAGUGGCGAAGAACCUACUUGCAGUACAGGGGGAAAAUUAACUGUUUUGGAUCAGCUGAAGGACAAUCUGGAUUCUAGUCCCAACCCCAGAACUUCCUACCCAAUGACCUCUUUGAGUGUGUUUCACCUCUUUGAACAUCUACACCUUCAUUGAUAAAUGGGAAUGUGAUGAUCUCACAGGACUGUAAUGAGGAUCCAGCAACUGUAGGUAAAAGCUUUUUGUAAAUGAACUAGUAACCUUCAUGCAAGAACAAAUUUAAAACUGCUCAAGUUCAUGGGACUUCCUUGGAGGUCCAGUGAUUAAGACUCCACCCUUCCAAUGUAGUGGGUGCAGGCUCUGUUCUGCUGGGGAACUAAGAUCUCACAUGCUGUUUGGCUUGGCCAAAAAAAAAAAAAAAAAAUUUUCUUUUAAAGUGCUCAAGUUCAGAGUUUGUCCUUUUUAAAGUAACAAUAAUCCCCAGAAAAUUCUCCUCCCUGGCCUCUGGGUACAAAGAUAACUAUACUAUACUAUGCUAUGAUAGAUAACUAUCUUAGAUCUCUUCUCCUUAUUUCUAGAGCCUCCACAAGCUGAAGCAGUUUUCAAAUUUUGAGGCCCCUCACCUUGAAUCAGUCUUCUCCCUCAGAUAUAGCUAGUUAUUAGGGAUACCUAAAUGUCA